rnacentral:rRNA from 1 species
AGUGAACGCUGGCGGUAGGCCUAACACAUGCAAGUCGAACGGCAGCACAGUAAGAGCUUGCUCUUACGGGUGGCGAGUGGCGGACGGGUGAGGAAUACAUCGGAAUCUACUUUUUCGUGGGGGAUAACGUAGGGAAACUUACGCUAAUACCGCAUACGACCUACGGGUGAAAGCAGGGGAUCUUCGGACCUUGCGCGAUUGAAUGAGCCAAUGUCGGAUUAGCUAGUUGGCGGGGUAAAGGCCCACCAAGGCGACGAUCCGUAGCUGGUCUGAGAGGAUGAUCAGCCACACUGGAACUGAGACACGGUCCAGACUCCUACGGGAGGCAGCAGUGGGGAAUAUUGGACAAUGGGCGCAAGCCUGAUCCAGCCAUACCGCGUGGGUGAAGAAGGCCUUCGGGUUGUAAAGCCCUUUUGUUGGGAAAGAAGAGCAGCAGGUUAAUACCCCGCUGUUCUGACGGUACCCAAAGAAUAAGCACCGGCUAACUUCGUG